rnacentral:lncRNA from 1 species
AAAGAUUCUAUACCAUGUAUUGCCCAGAUCUUGGACUCAACAUAUGCUUCCAGUUCAACUACUUAUCUUGGAGAAUUAACUAUCUGAUGUAUUUCUAACAGGUGAUUCCAUUUCUCACUAAUCUGUGUUUGUCCUGUUCCAUUUAGUCUUGUUCUGUAAUGUUCAUACCAUUCACCCAGAUAUUCAUAAUCCAGGUGCUUCAGAUUCGGAAAUCAUCUUGUGCAUAAGCUUUUCUACCUGCUGAGCCGUUAAUGGUUGGUAACAUAUGAAGAAAUGCUUUGCUGGAAUAGGUUGAAAAUGGAACUGUGAUUGGAAACUGGACUGAACACUUUUAGCUAGUUCUCCUAGAAAGUGACCAAGUUGUUCCCUCCAAGUAAACCAAACGAAGCAUACAGGCAGGAAGCGAAAAGUGCUGAAGAUAUGAAAGGUAAAGUAUGAAUGCUCAUAACCUUUAUGAACUGUAAAGCGUUUCUCUCUUAACAUACUUCUAAUGAUCAGAAAAGUUUUAUAUAGCCUUGGAGGAAUUGCAGAAGCUGAAAAGGGACAGUAGGGACCAGAAACCAUAAGCAUAUUUGGGUGAAAAGAAAGUAGGGUGGGAGAGAGACCCAUACCAGAAUAUUAAUUGAUAUACAUAUUUAAGGCAGAACUGUGGGAAUUCAGUUUCUGCUCUUACAUGGCAUCCAUCAACAGAAAAGCUCAUCACAUUUACCUCUCAUUGUCCCCCCUUACUAACCCUUUCAAUUUAAUGACUUCUAAUCUCACAGAAUUUCCUCUUCCUAUCCUACAGCUCACAAUGCAGCAAGUACUACAAAAAGUAUCUCUCUUCUGUACAACCCUCCUCUUUGCCUUGUACGACAUCUGAUCAAAGCCUCUGGAAAGACCAGCAGAGAGAGAGAGAGAGAGAGAGAGAGAGAGAGAG